GAAAGCUUAUAAAGAAUCUACUAUGAACCAAUAAUUACACCAGGCACUGAAGAUGGAAAAAAAGAGAAGAAAAAGGAGGAACAAGCAGAAGGAACAGUGCUAAUUCAAGGAGCUUAUGUUUAGCCGCCAUCAAGGAGACUAUUGUAGCUGGAGGCGUUGGUAGGAAGACGACUAAAGGGCUACAUCAUGUCAAACCCUCAAGUAGGAAUUAUUGCCUUUCUUGCCUCAGUUCCCAGCUGUAUUAUGUCACCAAAUCACAUCACAGUGUAAUCAAAGAUGAAUAAAAUAUUUUUUUCUUUACCUUAAAU
rnacentral:lncRNA from 1 species